AUUGAACGCUGGCGGCAGGCCUAACACAUGCAAGUCGAACGGUAACAGGAAGAAGCUUGCUUCUUUGCUGACGAGUGGCGGACGGGUGAGUAAUGUCUGGGAAACUGCCUGAUGGAGGGGGAUAACUACUGGAAACGGUAGCUAAUACCGCAUAACGUCGCAAGACCAAAAAGGGGGACCUUCGGGCCUCUUGCCAUCGGAUGUGCCCAGAUGGGAUUAGCUAGUAGGUGGGGUAACGUCUCACCUAGGCGACGAUCCCUAGCUGGUCUGAGAGGAUGACCAGCCACACUGGAACUGAGACACGGUCCAGACUCCUACGGGAGGCAGCAGUGGGGAAUAUUGCACAAUGGGCGCAAGCCUGAUGCAGCCAUGCCGCGUGUAUGAAGAAGGCCUUCGGGUUGUAAAGUACUUUCAGCGGGGAGGAAGGGAGUAAAGUUAAUACCUUUGCUCAUUGACGUUACCCGCAGAAGAAGCACCGGCUAACUCCGUG
rnacentral:rRNA from 1 species